AAAGCCCUGUGGGGUAGAACGAACUGGCAUCGGGCUAAUAUCCCGGUGUCUUGACGGUACUGCCUUAGCAAGCAUCGGCUAACUCUGUGCCAGCAGCCGCGGUAAGACAGAGGAUGCGAACGUUGCUCGGAUUUACUGGGCGUAAAAGCGCGUGUAGGCGGUCUCGUUAGUCGGGUGUGAAAGCCCCGGGCUCAACCCGGGAAGUGCACCCGAUACUGCGAGACUGGGGUACUGAAGAGGAGAGCGGAAUUCCCGGUGUAGAGGUGAAAUUCGUAGAUAUCGGGAGGAACACCAGUGGCGAAGGCGGCUCUCUGGGCAGAUACCGACGCUGAGACGCGAAAGCGUGGGGAGCAAACAGGAUUAGAUACCCUGGUAGUCCACGCUGUAAACGAUGACGACUGGGUGUUGCAGGUAUUGACCCCUGCGGUGCCGAAGCCAACGCGUUAAGUCGUCCGCCUGGGAAGUACGGCCGCAAGGCUAAAACUCAAAGGAAUUGACGGG
rnacentral:rRNA from 1 species